rnacentral:rRNA from 1 species
GAUGAACGCUGGCGGCGUGCCUAAUACAUGCAAGUCGAGCGAACGGACGAGAAGCUUGCUCCUCUGACGUUAGCGGCGGACGGGUGAGUAACACGUGGAUAACCUACCUAUAAGACUGGGAUAACUUCGGGAAACCGGAGCUAAUACCGGAUAAUAUUUUGAACCGCAUGGUUCAAAAGUGAAAGACGGUUUUGCUGUCACUUAUAGAUGGAUCCGCGCUGCAUUAGCUAGUUGGUAAGGUAACGGCUUACCAAGGCAACGAUGCGUAGCCGACCUGAGAGGGUGAUCGGCCACACUGGAACUGAGACACGGUCCAGACUCCUACGGGAGGCAGCAGUAGGGAAUCUUCCGCAAUGGGCGAAAGCCUGACGGAGCAACGCCGCGUGAGUGAUGAAGGUCUUCGGAUCGUAAAACUCUGUUAUUAGGGAAGAACAAAUGUGUAAGUAACUAUGCACGUCUUGACGGUACCUAAUCAGAAAGCCACGGCUAACUACGUG